GCCGCUAUGGUGAAAUUGGUAGACACGCUGCUCUAUUUUUU
rnacentral:tRNA from 1 species